rnacentral:rRNA from 1 species
CUUACCAGGUCCAGACACAGUUAGGAUUGACAGAUUGAAAGCUCUUUCUUGAUUCUGUGGGUGGUGGUGCAUGGCCGUUCUUAGUUGGUGGAGUGAUUUGUCUGGUUAAUUCCGAUAACGAACGAGACCUCAGCCUAUUAAUUAAAUAAAAAAAUAUAAGCAAUUAUAAGGGUUAAAUAAAAUUUAAUUUAAUAUUAUUUUUUAGUAUUAAAUUAUUUUAUUUAAAACUUGUUUAUAUUUAUUUUUAUUUUCUUAAAGGGACACUUGGUGUUUAACCAAGGGAAGUUUGAGGCAAUAACAGGUCUGUGAUGCCCUUUAGAUGUUCUGGGCCGCACGCGCGCUACACUGAUAAAAUCAAUAAGUUUUUUAAUUUAAUUCCUUAACUGAAAAGUUUGGGUAAACUUUGAAAAUUUUAUCGUGCUGGGGAUUGACAAUUGUAAUUAUUUGUCAUGAACGAGGAAUUCCUAGUAAACGUAAGUCAUCAGCUUACGUUGAUUACGUCCCUGCCCUUUGUACACACCGCCCGUC